AAAGCCUGAUCCAGCCAUGCCGCGUCUGUGAAGAAGGUCUUCGGAUUGUAAAGCACUUUAAGUUGGGAGGAAGGGUUUCUGGCUAAUAUCCAGGAAUUUUGACGUUACCGACAGAAUAAGCACCGGCUAACUUCGUGCCAGCAGCCGCGGUAAUACGAAGGGGGCUAGCGUUGUUCGGAAUCACUGGGCGUAAAGCGCACGUAGGCGGAUUUUUAAGUCAGGGGUGAAAUCCCGGGGCUCAACCUCGGAACUGCCUUUGAUACUGGAAGUCUGGAGUCCGAGAGAGGUGAGUGGAACUCCGAGUGUAGAGGUGAAAUUCGUAGAUAUUCGGAAGAACACCAGUGGCGAAGGCGGCUCACUGGCUCGGUACUGACGCUGAGGUGCGAAAGCGUGGGGAGCAAACA
rnacentral:rRNA from 1 species